CACGUAGGGGGCAAGCGUUGUCCGGAAUCAUUGGGCGUAAAGAGCGUGUAGGCGGUCCGGUAAGUCGGCUGUGAAAGUCCAGGGCUCAACCCUGGGAUGCCGGUCGAUACUGCCGGACUAGAGUUCGGAAGAGGCGAGUGGAAUUCCCGGUGUAGCGGUGAAAUGCGCAGAUAUCGGGAGGAACACCUAUGGCGAAGGCAGCUCGCUGGGACGUUACUGACGCUGAGACGCGAAAGCGUGGGGAGGCAAACAGG
rnacentral:rRNA from 1 species